GAUGGGAUCUGGGCAGAAAGCCGUGCUCCCCUCACCUCCCUGACUCUGGCAUUCUGGUCGGUGCAUUGAUGGGAGCAGAUGCGCUUGUGCCCUUGUCUCCUGGUGCGGCUCUGGAAAGGCUGCAGUAGUCUCCAUCAGAGAGCAGCGACACUUAUAGGAGUCCUGGAGGGCUGUGUAGGGCUGCAGCUUGGAGUGCAGGGCUUGUCUCAUGCAGAAGGGCACGCGAGGGGAUGGGGAGGGUUGAGGACUGCUGGGAUUGGCAUCUGAGCAUCAGGUGGGAACUGGGCAGCAAUGGAACUGAGCUUGGCUACUGUAGGUACUGGAGCCAGACACUGCCCCCAGGUGUAGCAGAGUCCCGGGGAGUCCAGGAGGCAGCAGAGUGCAGCACUGUCUGGAGGGUUCAGAGUGUCGCAGAGAGGUUGGAGAAAAUCAAGUCGUGCGUGUGGUGGUGGCUCAGAUUCCCCAAGGCUUUCAGUGCUAAGGAGCCUGAAAUAACCAGUGUUUUAUCUUUGGGGCUGAGCCAAGUGCAUCUCUUUGAAGAAGUCGCUUAAUUUCCUCAUCAUCACCAAUUAUCAACACUUUAGGGGCGGUAAUUCCUUUAAUUAUACCCACUUUAAAAACAUGAUUUUGUUCCACAAACAAAAGGGGCAUGUCAGGGAUGCCCUCAGUUCUGUGUGCUUGAACUUUGAAUUCCGUGGAUUAAAGUUGCUCUGGGGGAAGAAUCCUGCUUCCAUCCUCCCCGUUCCUUCUCCCUUUCCUGUCACCAUGCUUCUGUGAGGCCCGGCAGUGCUCUCCCCAUACUUGCAGACGGACUGGACUGAGCCCUGGCUUGUGGGGCUGGCUGCCUUCCACACUUUCUGCCUGCUUCUCACCUGCUUGUCCUCCUGGAGCUACAAACUACAGAUCGGGCACUUCCUGUGCCUAGUAAUCCUAGUCUACUGUGCUGAAUACAUCAAUGAGGUGGCUGCAAUGAACUGGAGAUUAUUUUCAAAAUACCAGUAUUUCGACUCCAGGGGCAUGUUCAUUUCUAUAGUAUUUUCAGCGCCACUGCUGCUGAAUGCCAUGAUCAUUGUGAUUAUGUGGGUACGGAAGACGUUGAAUGUGAUGACUGAUCUGAAGAACGUACAAGAGAGAAGAAAGGAGAAGAAAAGGAGAAGGAAAGAAGACUGAGAGGCAGCAGCUGCUUGGAGUUUGCGUCCUCAGUCCACCCCGGCUGCUCCAAGUGCUAAACUGCACGUGGCAUGGGCAUCCUUCCACCUGACCCGUGGUUUGAAAAAUGGUUGUUUUAUUUUAACAUCCACAGUGAUAGGCACACACUGAAGUCGACUUUUCAGCAGCACUGAAUGUAUCCAUCAGGACAUGCGUCUUCAGGCGUCUGAUCUUUGUAGUCAGGCCAUGGGAACGGUCCCUGCAGAGCUUUACAACUGGGAGUUUGAUUUGAAGAAGUCCAUGUCAUCUGUGUAACUGGUACUCAUUAUAGCCUGUUCACAAUAUUAAAUAUGAAAUUCAGUAAUAAACAGUGCCACCCUGCGCAUGGGCACCAUGCUCUCCUCUUGCUGUGUUUUCUAGUGCAUGCAGCGGUUCUCAGUAGAAGUUGUUUUUGCCUUCCAGGACAUGGGGCAAAGUUUGGAGACACUUUUGGUUGUCACUGGAGGGGGUGGGGCUCCUGGCCUCUCCUGUGGAGCCCAGGGAUCAUGCAAAACAUCCUGUGUGCCUGGGCCAGCCACACCACUCAUGUGGCUUGACAUGAAAUGUCAGCAGUGCUGGGGCAGAGAGACCUUGGAAGGAAGCUCUUGGAAAAGAUGUUGCAUCUUGGUUUGAUGAACCAAUUCCCAAGAGGCUAGGUCCUCUCUAACAAAGUUAUGGGCUGCUUGACUGAAAACAGAGUGGAAGUCCUGCAGUCAGCACUCCACGGAGAGCGUCUUUCCUAAGUGUCACGGUGUCCUGUUGGUUCAGGUGCUUGGGAACACAGUGCUCUCAGUUCUGUUAGGGCAGGCAUACUGUUACUUUGCAAUAUCCACUUUAUAAAGUAGCUCCUGCCCAGUAGAUUUUGGUUCCUGUCAAAUCUGGACCUGUAGUUUGAAGGUGACAGGUGGUUAGAGACCCAGAUAUUUAAAAAUAGGUGUUCAGUAAGGGAAUGCUCAUUGUGCGUCUUAUCUGAUAGCAUGCCUAAUUGUGCAUUUCUGAAAGUUACCAAGUCAAAAUGUAAUUGGCACAGUUAACUUUGAGUAGACAAACUUGGAAGAAAAUGAGGUGCAGAGAUUGCCAGCCAGGCCUGUGCCCCUCUCGGGCCUUUGUGGCUGACAAGUGGGACAGGAAGAUGAUUAAGGCGACUUGUCCUCCCCCGGCAUUGUCCAGGGCCACUGUGUGGAUAUUUGACUUAGCUAACACAAAAUAAACCAGGGAGAUUUUAGAGACUGUACAUUUUUAAUGUCACAUUUUCAUCUGAUAUGGUUUGGCUCUGUGUCCCCACCCAAAUCUGUGAUCCCCAUGUGUCGAGGGAGGGACCUGGUGGAGGUGAUUGGAUCAUGGGGGUGAUUACCCCCAUGCUGUUCUCCUGAUCAUGAGGGAGUUCUCACAAGAUCUGAUGGUUUUUAAAAUGGCCCUUGCUCUCACUGUCUCUCGUGCCGCCUUGUGAAGAAGGUGCGUGCUUCCGUUUUGCCCUCUGCCAUGACUGUAAGUUUCCUGAGGCCUCCCUCCCAUGUGGAACUGCAUCAAUUAAACCUCUUGUUUAUAAAUUAUCAGGUCUCAGAUAGUACCUUUACAGCAGUGUGAGAACAGACUAAUACAUCAUCCAUACGUUAUUUGGGCUUAACUCAAUAUGGGGCCAUGUGAUUGAAUCUCAGUUUGUGAUAAAACAGUGUAACAGUGUUGCUAGUUUUGCAUGAAUUUAAUGCUGAUGACGUGUCAUUGUGAAACCAUGACGUGUGUUCUUUGGUUUCCACUCAGAGUAUAUAUGUCUGUGUUUUGGAACCGUUAUAUUUUGUUUUCAUAAAAACAACCUUCACUAUUUUUAACUGUGUAGUAAGUUUAUAUUCAUUGCCUUCAAAUGCAUUGUUAACAGUUGUCUUGAUAUGUUGUCUUCAUGUCAGGGAAAGUCAUAGAGGCGAAAAUGGUCAGCAGUUGGGUAAUUCACGAAAGCACAGAUGCAAUCCCACUUAGAUGUGCUGGAAGUCACACAGAGCACUGGCUCCAUAAAUGUGGAUGACUCACUGGAGGUCUUCAUCUGUUUAAGUGGAACAAAUGUUUUUACUCAUAAAGUACAGGAAAGGAAGAGUUUGUUAUAAAAAUAUAUUUUUCACAUUCCAAACCUGCUACACCUUACAUUUAGCUAUGCAAUAAAGUAGAUCAUUAA